GAUGAACGCUGACAGAAUGCUUAACACAUGCAAGUCUACUUGAUCCUUCGGGUGAUGGUGGCGGACGGGUGAGUAACGCGUAAAGAACUUGCCCUGCAGUCUAGGACAACAUUUGGAAACGAAUGCUAAUACCGGAUAUUAUGUGAGUUUCGCAUGAAAUUCAUAUGAAAGCUAUAUGCGCUGCAGGAGAGCUUUGCGUCCUAUUAGCUAGUUGGUGAGGUAACGGCUCACCAAGGCGAUGAUAGGUAGCCGGCCUGAGAGGGUGAACGGCCACAAGGAGACUGAGACACGGCCCUUACUCCUACGGGAGGCAGCAGUGGGGAAUAUUGGACAAUGGACCAAAAGUCUGAUCCAGCAAUUCCGUGUGCACGAUGAAGUUUUUCGGAAUGUAAAGUGCUUUCAGUUGGGACGAAGUAAGUGACGGUACCAACAGAAGAAGCGACGGCUAAAUACGUGCCAGCAGCCGCGGUAAUACGUAUGUCGCAAGCGUUAUCCGGAUUUAUUGGGCGUAAAGCGCGUCUAGGCGGUUUGGUAAGUCUGAUGUGAAAAUGCGGGGCUCAACUCCGUAUUGCGUUGGAAACUGCCAAACUAGAGUACUGGAGAGGUGGGCGGAACUACAAGUGUAGAGGUGAAAUUCGUAGAUAUUUGUAGGAAUGCCGAUGGGGAAGCCAGCCCACUGGACAGAUACUGACGCUAAAGCGCGAAAGCGUGGGUAGCANACAGG
rnacentral:rRNA from 1 species